rnacentral:rRNA from 1 species
UACGGAGGGUGCAAACGUUGCUCGGAAUCAUUGGGCGUAAAGCGCACGUAGGCGGCUUGUUAAGUCGGGUGUGAAAUCCCUGGGCUCAACCCAGGAAGUGCACUCGAAACUGGCGAGCUUGAAUAUGGAAGAGGGUCGCGGAAUUCCCGGUGUAGAGGUGAAAUUCGUAGAUAUCCGGAAGAACACCGGUGGCGAAGGCGGUCUGCUGGGCAGUAGCUGACACUGAGGCGCGACAGCGUGGGGAGCAAACAGG